GUCAGCAGCUUUUUUGUCUGGGGCUCUGUCCGGCUGUUCUUCUUAAUGCUCAAAAAGAAAAGCAAAAAUAAGGAAUACAAGCAAACUACGAAGUCAAGAUUAUCCACACACAGUGAAUAAUACGUGAAUAUAUUCAGUGAGAAGCUUUGAAGAUGCAGCGUGUUUUGAGAUGCAGUUUUCUAGUGAUCAUCUGCUGCAUCUCAUGGACAGACUCAUCCGUGAUUACAGUUACUUUAAUCAGAGAAAUUGGGGAUGAUAUCUUCAUCGAGUGCGCUGUAGAUAAGACACCUCAGGAUGGAGUGUACAUUUACAAACAAGAAGCAGCAAAUAAACAACAGGAAAUCUUCUACUUCUACAAACCAGAACAUCUAUAAAACAAUGAAUGAAUCCAAAAUCAGUGUAAGUGGAGCCCUUCCCAACCUUACCGUCACCCUCUUAAAUGCAACUGCCGAAGACAUUGGGCUUUACUGGUGUGAAUUUAAUUUGGAAGAAAACACUACUGUUGGCAGGUUCACUUGGUUAUGGAUAGAAAAAUCAGAAGAAGAAAAAAAAAGAGUGCCCAGAAGAAAUUCUUCACUAUGAGAAAAACUUACUAAUUUUGUUUGCUGUCAUAUCCCUACUGUGCAACGUUGGUUUCUUCUGUGUGAUUCUGAAGAUGAAAGGGUGUUGGGGGAACAGGAAACACACACCAUCAAAUCCACCCUCAGACUUAUAAUGAGAUGAAAUGGAGAACAUUUGGAUGUAAAGCCUAAAGUACAGGCAUUCACCAAACCUGACUAUCAGUACCAAACUUUGAUAAAUACUGUGAUUAAUAAGAAGAUUAAGUGUUAUGCAAGAGAAAUGUAUGUAUUUAAUCAAUGUUAGACAUGGUUAAUUUUGUUAAUCUUACAUGAGUUACAUAGAUUUCUUUGUAUGAUCUUUUUUUUGUUGAGGUAUAGAUAUAUGUAUGUAACCAUUGUUUUGAAAACAGAUUUUUUGUCUUUUAUUGUGUUUAAGAUAUGACGUUUCUUACAGGACUUUUCAAACGAGUGCUAACUGUCUAUGAAUGUAAGGGGACGAACCCAACGGAGGUUAUGCUGUACAUGUAAGGGUCAGAUUUUGAUUGAUGAGCACGGAGAUAUACAUGUUACCUUUUAUUUUUAUGUCUAAGUAUUGGGUUAUUUACUGUCAUACAUUUGGUAA